GAGUCAUUUACAUCAUAUCUGCUUUGGAAGAAACAUCAAAAUGAUGUAUAUAUUUAUGGUAUUCAGUUUAUUUGCUCUAAGAAAUAGCCUGGCACAAACAUCCUCCUCCCAUCAAAUCGAUGAGUUUAUUCAUUCUCUUGAGAAUGAAUGGAAUUUACUCAAUAUUCUUCUUAAUAGGGAGCAUGAAGAAUGGAAAAACAAAAAUUCCCGGAUUUUGAAAGAUUCCGUCAAUCAACAAAACCAAAUAACAGAAGAAGAUAUGAAACGUAUCAACUUGUGGAACUUAUUGGCAAAUACUAGAAGUAAUGGAGACGUAUCCUCAGAAUCAAUAGAAAAUAAUUGGGUUUAAUGAAAAAAGUUAUUCAUGAAUCUGCCUGAAGUUGAAGCCUCUCCAUCUUUGAAGUUUUUUCAUUUUCCCGUGCAACACGUCUCAUCAUUUCUUAUUAAUAGAUUUGUAAAUAUGUUUUUUGUUAUGUUAAUAUUUAUUUAAACGCUUCUACUUUUUUUUUUAUCAACGUAUUUUUGAUUUAAAAAAAAUCUACUUUCAAUUUGUCUUUCUAUUGUUUUUAGGAUCGAAAUAUUAUGUUAACACUUUUUCUAUUUUUAAUAAAUUUACCUAGAGAUA
rnacentral:lncRNA from 1 species